GACGAACGCCGGCGGCAGGCUUAACACAUGCAAGUCGAACGCAUCGCAAGAUGAGUGGCAGACGGGUGAGUAACGCGUGGGAACAUACCCUUUUCUACGGAAUAGCUCUGGGAAACUAGAAUUAAUACCGUAUACGCCCUACGGGGGAAAGAUUUAUCGGGGAAGGAUUGGCCCGCGUUGGAUUAGCUAGUUGGUGGGGUAAAGGCCUACCAAGGCGACGAUCCAUAGCUGGUCUGAGAGGAUGAUCAGCCACAUUGGGACUGAGACACGGCCCAAACUCCUACGGGAGGCAGCAGUGGGGAAUAUUGGACAAUGGGCGCAAGCCUGAUCCAGCCAUGCCGCGUGAGUGAUGAAGGCCUUAGGGUUGUAAAGCUCUUUCACCGAUGAAGAUAAUGACGGUAGUCGGAGAAGAAGCCCCGGCUAACUUCGUGCCAGCAGCCGCAGUAAUAC
rnacentral:rRNA from 1 species